CCUACGGGAGGCAGCAGUGGGGUAUAUUGCACAAUGGGGGAAACCCUGAUGCAGCGACGCCGCGUGCGUGAAGAAGUCUUUCGGUAUGUAAAGCUCUAUCAGCAGGGAAGAAAACCGACGUUACCUGACUCAGCCGCCCCGGCUAACUACGUGCCAGCCGCCUCGGUCAUACGUAGGGGGCAAGCGUUAUCCGGAUUUACUGGGCGUAAAGCGCUCGUAGGCGGUAUGUCAAGUCAAGGGUGAAAUCCCCGCGCUCAACGUGGGAACUGCCUUUGAACCUGGCAAACUGGAGUGUGUGAGAGGAUAGUGGAAUUCAAGGUGUAGGAGUGAAAUCCGUAGAUAUCUGGAGGAACAUCAGUGGCGAAGGCGACUAUCUGGCACAUAACUGACGCUGAGGAGCGAAAGCGUGGGUAGCAAACAGGAUUAGAUACCCGUGUAGUC
rnacentral:rRNA from 1 species